rnacentral:rRNA from 1 species
AAGGUUAAGCCUCACGGUUCAUUAGUACCGGUUAGCUCAACGCAUCGCUGCGCUUACACACCCGGCCUAUCAACGUCGUUGUCUUCAACGUUCCUUCAGGACUCUCAAGGAGUCAGGGAGAACUCAUCUCGGGGCAAGUUUCGUGCUUAGAUGCUUUCAGCACUUAUCUCUUCCGCAUUUAGCUACCGGGCAGUGCCAUUGGCAUGACAACCCGAACACCAGUGAUGCGUCCACUCCGGUCCUCUCGUACUAGGAGCAGCCCCCCUCAGUUCUCCAGCGCCCACGGCAGAUAGGGACCGAACUGUCUCACGACGUUCUAAACCCAGCUCGCGUACCACUUUAAAUGGCGAACAGCCAUACCCUUGGGACCUACUUCAGCCCCAGGAUGUGAUGAGCCGACAUCGAGGUGCCAAACACCGCCGUCGAUAUGAACUCUUGGGCGGUAUCAGCCUGUUAUCCCCGGAGUACCUUUUAUCCGUUGAGCGAUGGCCCUUCCAUUCAGAACCACCGGAUCACUAUGACCUGCUUUCGCACCUGCUCGCGCCGUCACGCUCGCAGUCAAGCUGGCUUAUGCCAUUGCACUAACCUCCUGAUGUCCGACCAGGAUUAGCCAACCUUCGUGCUCCUCCGUUACUCUUUAGGAGGAGACCGCCCCAGUCAAACUACCCACCAGACACUGUCCGCAACCCGGAUUACGGGUCAACGUUAGAACAUCAAACAUUAAAGGGUGGUAUUUCAAGGUCGGCUCCAUGCAGACUGGCGUCCACACUUCAAAGCCUCCCACCUAUCCUACACAUCAAGGCUCAAUGUUCAGUGUCAAGCUAUAGUAAAGGUUCACGGGGUCUUUCCGUCUUGCCGCGGGUACACUGCAUCUUCACAGCGAGUUCAAUUUCACUGAGUCUCGGGUGGAGACAGCCUGGCCAUCAUUACGCCAUUCGUGCAGGUCGGAACUUACCCGACAAGGAAUUUCGCUACCUUAGGACCGUUAUAGUUACGGCCGCCGUUUACCGGGGCUUCGAUCAAGAGCUUCGCUUGCGCUGACCCCAUCAAUUAACCUUCCGGCACCGGGCAGGCGUCACACCGUAUACGUCCACUUUCGUGUUUGCACAGUGCUGUGUUUUUAAUAAACAGUUGCAGCCAGCUGGUAUCUUCGACUGAUUUCAGCUCCACGAGCAAGUCGCUUCACCUACAUAUCAGCGUGCCUUCUCCCGAAGUUACGGCACCAUUUUGCCUAGUUCCUUCACCCGAGUUCUCUCAAGCGCCUUGGUAUUCUCUACCUGACCACCUGUGUCGGUUUGGGGUACGAUUUGAUGUUACCUGAUGCUUAGAGGCUUUCCUGGAAGCAGGGCAUUUGUUGCUUCAGCACCGUAGUGCCUCGUCAUCACGCCUCAGCCUUGAUUUUCCGGAUUUGCCUGGAAAACCAGCCUACACGCUUAAACCGGGACAACCGUCGCCCGGCCAACAUAGCCUUCUCCGUCCCCCCUUCGCAGUAACACCAAGUACAGGAAUAUUAACCUGUUUCCCAUCGACUACGCCUUUCGGCCUCGCCUUAGGGGUCGACUCACCCUGCCCCGAUUAACGUUGGACAGGAACCCUUGGUCUUCCGGCGAGCGGGCUUUUCACCCGCUUUAUCGUUACUUAUGUCAGCAUUCGCACUUCUGAUACCUCCAGCAUGCCUCACAGCACACCUUCACAGGCUUACAGAACGCUCCCCUACCCAACAACGCAUAAGCGUCGCUGCCGCAGCUUCGGUGCAUGGUUUAGCCCCGUUACAUCUUCCGCGCAGGCCGACUCGACCAGUGAGCUAUUACGCUUUCUUUAAAUGAUGGCUGCUUCUAAGCCAACAUCCUGGCUGUCUGGGCCUUCCCACAUCGUUUCCCACUUAACCAUGACUUUGGGACCUUAGCUGGCGGUCUGGGUUGUUUCCCUCUUCACGACGGACGUUAGCACCCGCCGUGUGUCUCCCGUGAUAACAUUCUCCGGUAUUCGCAGUUUGCAUCGGGUUGGUAAGUCGGGAUGACCCCCUUGCCGAAACAGUGCUCUACCCCCGGAGAUGAGUUCACGAGGCGCUACCUAAAUAGCUUUCGGGGAGAACCAGCUAUCUCCCGGUUUGAUUGGCCUUUCACCCCCAGCCACAAGUCAUCCGCUAAUUUUUCAACAUUAGUCGGUUCGGUCCUCCAGUUAGUGUUACCCAACCUUCAACCUGCCCAUGGCUAGAUCACCGGGUUUCGGGUCUAUACCCUGCAACUUAACGCCCAGUUAAGACUCGGUUUCCCUUCGGCUCCCCUAUUCGGUUAACCUUGCUACAGAAUAUAAGUCGCUGACCCAUUAUACAAAAGGUACGCAGUCACACGCCUAAGCGUGCUCCCACUGCUUGUACGUACACGGUUUCAGGUUCUUUUUCACUCCCCUCGCCGGGGUUCUUUUCGCCUUUCCCUCACGGUACUGGUUCACUAUCGGUCAGUCAGGAGUAUUUAGCCUUGGAGGAUGGUCCCCCCAUAUUCAGACAGGAUACCACGUGUCCCGCCCUACUCAUCGAGCUCACAGCAUGUGCAUUUUUGUGUACGGGGCUGUCACCCUGUAUCGCGCGCCUUUCCAGACGCUUCCACUAACACACACACUGAUUCAGGCUCUGGGCUCCUCCCCGUUCGCUCGCCGCUACUGGGGGAAUCUCGGUUGAUUUCUUUUCCUCGGGGUACUUAGAUGUUUCAAUUCCCCCGGUUCGCCUCAUUAACCUAUGGAUUCAGUUAAUGAUAGUGUGUCGAAACACACUGGGUUUCCCCAUUCGGAAAUCGCCGGUUAUAACGGUUCAUAUCACCUUACCGACGCUUAUCGCAGAUUAGCACGUCCUUCAUCGCCUCUGACUGCCAGGGCAUCCACCGUGUACGCUUAGUCGCUUAA